rnacentral:rRNA from 1 species
UGGCUCGAGGACGAACGGCUGGCGGCGUGCCUAACACAUGCAAGUCGAACGGGGUUGAGUGCUUCGGUAUUCAACUUAGUGGCGAACGGGUGAGUAACGCGUGAAGAACCUGCCUUUCAGUGGGGGACAACAGUUGGAAACGACUGCUAAUACCGCAUGACACUUUUUGGGGGCAUCCCCGAGAAGUCAAAGCUUUAUGUGCUGAAAGAUGGCUUCGCGUCUGAUUAGCUAGUUGGAGGGGUAACAGCCCACCAAGGCGACGAUCAGUAGCCGGUCUGAGAGGAUGAACGGCCACAUUGGGACUGAGACACGGCCCAGACUCCUACGGGAGGCAGCAGUGGGGAAUCUUCCGCAAUGGACGAAAGUCUGACGGAGCAACGCCGCGUGAACGAUGACGGCCUUCGGGUUGUAAAGUUCUGUUAUACGGGACGAAUGGCGUAGCGGUCAAUACCCGUUACGAGUGACGGUACCGUAAGAGAAAGCCACGGCUAACUACGUG